UACGUAGGGUGCGAGCGUUGUCCGGAAUUAUUGGGCGUAAAGAGCUUGUAGGCGGUUUGUCGCGUCUGCUGUGAAAUCUCAAGGCUCAACCUUGAGCCUGCAGUGGGUACGGGCAGACUAGAGUGCGGUAGGGGGAGACUGGAAUUCCUGGUGUAGCGGUGAAAUGCGCAGAUAUCAGGGAGGAACACCGAGUGGCGAAAGGCAGCCGUCCCUCGGGCCGAACACGUGACGCUCGAUGAC
rnacentral:rRNA from 1 species